ACAGCGAGAGCUCCGGCAGCCGGCGCCUCCCGCCCGCCCGUCUCCGCCGCUCCCUCCGCCGCCGGGCCGGGCCAGACCACCGCGGGGCGCCGGGGGUGGGAGGGGACGGAGAGGGAUGAUGUCAAUGAAAACGUAUCUGUAGAGGUGAAUCACAAAAUGAAGAUGAGUAAUCAGAAGAAAAGCAGCAUCAUACUAUUAAAAAUUAAGACGCUCCGGACCGACUGUGGAUCUUCAGAAUCUGACGAGUCAGGAGUUUUCUAAGGUCUGUGGUUACUGUAUCACCAGAAUGCCCUCCAAGUAAAAGGUUCCAAAAGUAAGCCCUUCUGACAGUGAAAGAUAACUUGAAGCAGCCAAAUAUAAAUGUGAAGAUCUACAUCCAACCGAUACAUCUAAGCAUCUAUGUAGAUAUAUGCCAGAUCCAUAUCCAGCUGGCUGUGGGAGAUACAUCAGUAGAAACAAUGGCAGAGAUGUUGGGAAGAAAAGGAGUCUGUUCUGAGAUCCCAAUUGCUCUACAGUAGAAAAUAUCAGGAUGGUAAUGCAACUGUUGUGAUGUGACUGUUUGGUCACAUUAGUCACAUCUAAAGGCACUUUGGCUGUGACAGGUGUAUAAAAAACACUGGACGGAUGCCUCAGCAACAAGUCUGCGUGAGAGGGAAUGAAAAGAGUCAGAAGCUGUUACUCCCGGAAACCAAUAAAAGAAAAACCCAACAAAAACCUGUUAGCAUUAUUUGUAUUGUAUUGCGUGGUGUUCUUAGCCAAAUCAGAUGUGGUGAUGGCUGGAUUUCUCAAGACAUGCAGUGUAGUACAACAGAAUUUGUAAAAAUGCCAGAAGAAACAUUCUGCAUGCCGGCAUCACCGAUGUCACCAAGUGCAAAGUCAUGCUGCGUGCUAGCUUAGUCAGAAAUCCCAUUGAAUUAAUCUAUGGCAGAAUGUUCAAUCUGCAGAAGCUCAUAUUAGCAGUUAUAUGAGAAGGAGGGGAACCAAAAUUAUAUAGGGCAGAAAUCAAUUAUAAAUGUUGAGCGUCUUUUUGUUUCCAGGCCCAUUUAGCAAUGUUAUUGUCAAGAAAUUAAAGCAGUUUAGCAGAAGGAUGAGUUAGCGCCAUGUGCGUACUUAUGGUUCUGAAUUAUGCAUUGAGAAAUCUGCAAUCUCUUGUAACUGGCCUGCAUGUUCCCAAGCUGUGAUCAUUAGAUGUGUCCGAGUCAAUUUGUGCAGCCCUACCAAUCAUCUUUCUCGCUGGUGGGAUCCUCCAGUGGCAGAACAUGGGUGUUCAUGCCCUCGACAGCACCUCCCACCUCUCUCCCUAAUUGCAGUGACAAAAAGGAUGUGGUGGAAAGCCUCGGUAGCUGGCGGUGUCAUUACUAAUAACAUAGAGCCGCUGACGGCUUAAGAGGCAGAGGCACAUAAUGGCUCUUACAAUUUGUGUCAGAGUGGUGUUUGUACCUUCCUUCCUUGGGACCCAAGCAGCUCAGAACACCCACAGGCCACUUUGUAUCCUUCCCUCUUGCAUUUUCUGCUGCUCAGCUGCAACUGAGGACUGGAAUUCAGAUGCGUCUGCUCAAGGUUGGGCAGUAUGGUGUGCCUCUGCUCCCAACAGCUCAGUGGAGGCUUUCUGAGUGCUAGAGCGAUGGCUCACCCAGGCAUUAACCAGAAGAGAAUGUGUUUCUGCUUAGCAUCAGCCAGAUGCAAGAGGUUUGGCAGGCUUCUCCCAAGCAAACCCAGCUGAAGCUGGUCUCAUAUCGUCAGCACGGAUCACCCUCAAUACAGGAUGAGGAGGAUGCGUGACUAAUGUUCUGGAGACACUGGGGGAAUCCAAAAGCUUCAAAGAGCAGAAUAAUCCAUCCUCUCACUCUGAGGCUUCCCCAUCGUCUCUGAAACAGCCUUCCAUUUUGCAGCCUUUGUUUCUCUGCAAAUUCUGUAUUGAAGACAAAAACUGAGCUCAGAUCUUCAGAUCUUCAUGUUUCACGACAGACAGUAUCCUAAGGCAGCAGAGAUUACACAAGAUCACUUUGGCAUUCUUUUAUGCUCUGAGAAUAGCAUAAUGCAGGAUGCACAUCAGAGAGGUUUCUGGAGUGGGGGGAAGUGGUUUUCUCGGUGGUUUAGGGUUUUUUCAAGGUUAUUGUUCAUUUUACUUAAUGUGUCCAUAGAGUUUGGGUUUUGAAUAUGUAGGAAAAGUUUUUUUACUUUCCUUGCCGGAAUUAUUUUCUGUAGAACUCAUAUAGAAAGAAAAUGCAAUUUACUGCAUAAUAGAAGUGAGAGAAUUGCAAAAACAAAGCACUUUCAGAGAGAAAGCUAAUGCCUUCCCUGGUGGCAGUGACAGGGUUUCCAGAAACAAAUGGUGGGCUAAAAGAAAAUGGCUGACAGUGUGCUCCUGUUAACAGCCCUGUUAACUUCAUCAAAACAAAAGUGAAUUAAAUAACUUAACGUAUUAUUCUCAUCACUGAUUAUGCUAAUCUAAUUUAGAAAUGUGUAUUUUGCUUUAGACCAGACACGGGGCUGAUGUCUGUACCAACUCCAUGGGAUUGAUCAAGAUGAGGACCAGACUGUUUUAAGGACAGAUAAAAUAUAUUGACUGGUAUAAUUCUUCCUGUUCUUCCCUUACCCCCAAGUCAUUUUCAGUCUCGGGUCGCCACGCGUCAGCUGGCUGCUGAAGUCUUGCAUAGCACACCAUUAAAGA